GAUGAACGCUGGCGGCGUGCUUAACACAUGCAAGUCGAACGGUGAAGCAGAGCUUGCUCUGUGGAUCAGUGGCGAACGGGUGAGUAACACGUGAGCAAUCUGCCCCUGACUCUGGGAUAAGCGCUGGAAACGGCGUCUAAUACUGGAUACGAGCCGUGAAGGCAUCUUCAACGGUUGGAAAGAUUUUUCGGUCAGGGAUGAGCUCGCGGCCUAUCAGCUUGUUGGUGAGGUAAUGGCUCACCAAGGCGUCGACGGGUAGCCGGCCUGAGAGGGUGACCGGCCACACUGGGACUGAGACACGGCCCAGACUCCUACGGGAGGCAGCAGUGGGGAAUAUUGCACAAUGGGCGCAAGCCUGAUGCAGCAACGCCGCGUGAGGGAUGACGGCCUUCGGGUUGUAAACCUCUUUUAGCAGGGAAGAAGCGAAAGUGACGGUACCUGCAGAAAAAGCGCCGGCUAACUACGUGCCAGCAGCCGCGGUAAUACGUAGGGCGCAAGCGUUAUCCGGAAUUAUUGGGCGUAAAGAGCUCGUAGGCGGUUUGUCGCGUCUGCUGUGAAAUCCCGAGGCUCAACCUCGGGUCUGCAGUGGGUACGGGCAGACUAGAGUGCGGUAGGGGAGAUUGGAAUUCCUGGUGUAGCGGUGGAAUGCGCAGAUAUCAGGAGGAACACCGAUGGCGAAGGCAGAUCUCUGGGCCGUAACUGACGCUGAGGAGCGAAAGGGUGGGGAGCAAACAGGCUUAGAUACCCUGGUAGUCCACCCCGUAAACGUUGGGAACUAGUUGUGGGGUCCAUUCCACGGAUUCCGUGACGCAGCUAACGCAUUAAGUUCCCCGCCUGGGGAGUACGGCCGCAAGGCUAAAGCUCAAAGGAAUUGACGGGGACCCGCACAAGCGGCGGAGCAUGCGGAUUAAUUCGAUGCAACGCGAAGAACCUUACCAAGGCUUGACAUAUACGAGAACGCUGCAGAAAUGUAGAACUCUUUGGACACUCGUAAACAGGUGGUGCAUGGUUGUCGUCAGCUCGUGUCGUGAGAUGUUGGGUUAAGUCCCGCAACGAGCGCAACCCUCGUUCUAUGUUGCCAGCACGUAAUGGUGGGAACUCAUGGGAUACUGCCGGGGUCAACUCGGAGGAAGGUGGGGAUGACGUCAAAUCAUCAUGCCCCUUAUGUCUUGGGCUUCACGCAUGCUACAAUGGCCGGUACAAAGGGCUGCAAUACCGUGAGGUGGAGCGAAUCCCAAAAAGCCGGUCCCAGUUCGGAUUGAGGUCUGCAACUCGACCUCAUGAAGUCGGAGUCGCUAGUAAUCGCAGAUCAGCAACGCUGCGGUGAAUACGUUCCCGGGUCUUGUACACACCGCCCGUCAAGUCAUGAAAGUCGGUAACACCUGAAGCCGGUGGCCCAACCCUUGUGGAGGGAGCCGUCGAAGGUGGGAUCGGUAAUUAGGACU
rnacentral:rRNA from 1 species